rnacentral:rRNA from 1 species
CAGUAGCCGCGGUAAUACGGAGGGAGCGAGCGUUGUUCGGAAUUAUUGGGCGUAAAGGGCUCGCAGGCGGUUUCUUAAGUCUGAUGUGAAAGCCCCCGGCUUAACCGGGGAGGGUCAUUGGAAACUGGGAGACUUAGAGUGCAGAAGAGGAGAGUGGAAUUCCAUGUGUAGUGGUGAAAUGCGUAGAUAUAUGGAGGAACACCAGUGGCGAAGGCGACUCUCUGGUCCAUUAUUGACGCUGAGGUGCGAAAGCGUGGGGAGCAAACAGGAUUAGAUACCCCCGUAGUCCCUGUCUCUUAUA